rnacentral:rRNA from 1 species
AUUGAACGCUGGCGGCAGGCUUAACACAUGCAAGUCGAGCGAGAGGCGGACGGGUGAGUAAUGUCCGGGAAACUGCCUGAUGGAGGGGGAUAACUACUGGAAAAGGUACCUAAUACCGCAUACGAUCAGAUGUGCCCAGAGGGGAUUAGCUAGUAGGGGGGGUAAUGGCUCACCUAGGCGACGCUCCCUAGCUGGUCUGAGAGGAUGACCAGCCACACUGGAACUGAGACACGGUCCAGACUCCUACGGGAGGCAGCAGUGGGGAAUAUUGCACAAUGGGCGCAAGCCUGAUGCAGCCAUGCCGCGUGUGUGAAGAAGGCCUUCGGGUUGUAAAGCACUUUCAGCGAGGAGGCGUUACUCGCAGAAGAAGCACCGGCUAACUCCGUGCCAGCAGCCGCGGUAAUUC